rnacentral:rRNA from 1 species
UACAUGGGGUGCAAACGUUGCUCGGAAUUAUUGGGCGUAAAGCGCACGUAGGCGGUUCGUUAAGUCGGCUGUGAAAGCCCUCGGCUCAACUGAGGAAGUGCACCCGAAACUGGCGAGCUUGAGUACGAAAGAGGAUCGCGGAAUUCCCGGUGUAGAGGUGAAAUUCGUAGAUAUCGGGAGGAACACCGGUGGCGAAGGCGGCGAUCUGGGUCGAUACUGACGCUGAGGUGCGAAAGCGUGGGGAGCAAACAGG